rnacentral:lncRNA from 1 species
GGAUGGCCCUUCCUUCCGUCUCAGCUCCAAACUUUGUCUCUGUAACUCACUCCAUGGGUAUUUUGUUCCCCAUUCUAAGGAGGAACGAAGUAUCCACACUUUGGUCUUCCUUCUUCUUGAGUUUGAUGUGUUUUGCAAAUUGUAUCUUGGGUAUUCUAAGUUUCUGGGCUAAUGUCCACAUAUCAGUGAGUGCAUAUCAUGUGAGUUCUUUUGUGAUUGGGUUACCUCACUAAGGAUGAUAUCCUCCAGAUCCAUCCAUUUGCCUAAGAAUUUCAUAAAUUUAUUGCUUUAAUGAAAGCAUUCCUAAGAGGAAAACUCAUAGCUUUGAGUGCCUCCAAAAAGAAACUAGAGAGAGCAUACAUUAGCAGCUUGACAGCACACCUAAAAAUUCUAGAACAAAAGGAAGCAAAUUCACCCAAGAGGAGUACACUGCAGGAAAUAAUCAAACUCAGGGCUGAAAUCAACCAAGUGGAAACAAAAAAAACUAUACAAAGAAUCAUCCAAACCAGGAGCUGGUUCUUUGAGAAAAUCAACAAGAUAGAUAAACCCUUAGCCAGACUAACUAGAGGGCACAGGGACAGUAUCUUAAUUAACAAAAUCAGAAAUGAACAGGGAGACAUAACAGAAACCAUGGAAAUUUAAAAAAUCAUCAGAUCCUACUACAAAAUCUUAUACUCAAAAAGAUUGGAAAAUCUGGAUGCAAUGGACAAUUUUCUAGACAGAUACCAGGUGCCAAAGUUAAAACAGGAUCAGAUAAACCAUCUAAACAGAUCCAUUACCUCCUAAAGAAAGAGAAGCAGUCAUUAAUAGUCUCCCAACCAAAAAAAGCUCAGGACCAGAUGGGUUUAGUGCAGAGUUCUAUUAGACCUUCAAAGAAGACCUAAUUCCAAUUCUCCUCAAACUAUUCCACAAAAUAGAAACAGAAAAUACUCUACCCUAUUCAUUCUAUAAAGUCUUUUUCUAAAUUGUAAAGGUUUGGCCUUGAUUCAUUUAUUUAAUAAAUAUGUAAUAUUCAUAAUAAUUCAUAACAUUAGCUCAUUGUUUAGUGCUAUGUAAAACCAUAAUAAACAUGUUAUAUAUAUUAAAUCUAUUGAUUUUAAGAACAAUUUUUCUGGUAUUAGUACAAUUAUUAUUCAUGGUAUAAUGAUGAGAAUAUCAAAGUAUAAGAAGUUAUCUAUUUACACAGACUGAAAUAAGAAGACCUAAGAUUUGGAUUUGAGUUCAAGCAUUUAAACUCCAGACUUGACAUUGGUUUUUAUUAUUGUCUGUUUUGUUUUGUUUUUUGGGUUUUUUUCCUCUGUUUGUUUUAAGGUAAGGUCUCUCUGUAGCUUUGGCUGUCUUGGAAUUUUCUUUUUUUUUUAAUUUUUAUUGAUUCUUUGUGAGUUCUAUAUCAUGCAUCCCAGUCUCGCUCAUCUCUCCAUCCCCUCAUAUCUGCCAUUUGCCCUUGCAACCUUCCCCCUACCCC